rnacentral:rRNA from 1 species
UACGGGGGGGGCAAGCGUUGUUCGGAAUUACUGGGCGUAAAGGGCUCGUAGGCGGCCAACUAAGUCCGACGUGAAAUCCCCAGGCUUAACCUGGGAACUGCGUCGGAUACUGGAUGGCUUGAAUUCGGGAGAGGGAUGCAGAAUUCCAGGUGUAGCGGUGAAAUGCGUAGAUAUCUGGAGGAAUACCGGUGGCGAAGGCGGCAUCCUGGACCGGUUCUGACACUGAGGAGCGAAAGCGUGGGGAGCGAUCCGG